rnacentral:snRNA from 1 species
ACAACUUUUUCAAAAGAAAAAAAUCUGUUCUUACUGGUUUAAUGUCUGAUACGUGCCCUACCCGGGCACCAUAUAUUAAAUUGAUAUUUGGAAUAGGGAGAUGGAAUAGGGGCUUGCUCCGUCCACUCCAUGCAUCGACCUGGUAUUGCAGUACCUCUGGGAAUGGUGCACCUCCC